UACGUAGGGUGCGAGCGUUGUCCGGAAUUACUGGGCGUAAAGAGCUCGUAGGUGGUUUGUCGCGUUGUCCGUGAAAACUCACAGCUUAACUGUGGGCGUGCGGGCGAUACGGGCAGACUGGAGUACUGCAGGGGAGACUGGAAUUCCUGGUGUAGCGGUGGAAUGCGCAGAUAUCAGGAGGAACACCGGUGGCGAAAGGCGGUUCUCUGGGCCUUACCUGACGCUGAGGAGCGAAAGCGUGGGGAGCGAACGG
rnacentral:rRNA from 1 species